GAUGAAGAACGCAGCGAAAUGCGAUAAGUAGUGUGAAUUGCAGAAUUCAGUGAAUCAUCGAAUCUUUGAACGCACAUUGCGCCCCUUGGUAUUCCAUGGGGCAUGCCUGUUCGAGCGUCAUUUGUACCUUCAAGCUCUGCUUGGUGUUGGGUGUUUGUCUCGCCUCUGCGUGUAGACUCGCCUCAAAAUAAUUGGCAGCCGGCGUAUUGAUUUCGGAGCGCAGUACAUCUCGCGCUUUGCACUCAUAACGACGACGUCCAAAAGUACAUAUUUACACUCUUGACCUCGGAUCAGGUAGGGAUACCCGCUGAACUUAAGCAUAUCAAUAAGCGGAGGA
rnacentral:misc_RNA from 1 species